GCCUGGAUGGCUCAGUGGUUGAGCGUCUGCUUUCAGCUCAGGGCGUGAUCUGGCGGUCCUGGGAUCGAGUCCCACAUCAGGCU
rnacentral:tRNA from 1 species